rnacentral:rRNA from 1 species
UACGUAGGGGGCAAGCGUUGUCCGGAAUCAUUGGGCGUAAAGAGCGUGUAGGCGGCCCGGUAAGUCCGCUGUGAAAGUCCAGGGCUCAACCCUGGGAUGCCGGUGGAUACUGUCGGGCUCGAGUCCGGAAGAGGAGUGUGGAAUUCCUGGUGUAGCGGUGAAAUGCGCAGAUAUCAGGAGGAACACCGAUGGCGAAGGCAGGUCUCUGGGCUGACACUGACGCUCAUGCACGAAAGCGUGGGGAGCAAACAGG